rnacentral:lncRNA from 1 species
CACACAGGAAUGGCAUUGCCCAGAUACUUGCAGAUGACGCCAAUGAUAAUUGGGCAAGGGAAGCCACCAGGGAUGUAGAUCACAAUGAUCUCAAGGAUGAUAAUCACUGGAUAAAGGAUGACACAUAGUAAAGGAACUUUGAGAACGAGGUCCUUCAGACUGGCUAUAACUUGAGUGAUUAUUGCAAGUACUUUGUCAACCACAUCCAGUGGGACACCAAUGUCUGAUGCUGAUGAAGUCCCAUUUGUGGGAAGUACCUCCUUUAGAGACCUCAUAGUGCCUUGCAAACAAAUUUACAUGGACAAAGAGUCAAACGAAACUUUAGACCAAGUUAUAUAUACUAUACCAGAGAGGUCUCCACUAACAUCACUGUCUAAUGCUGAAACAUGAACAACACUCGCAAGGAGGAGGCAAGCAAGUGGGAGAACGAAUGCUAUGCUUGAUUUUGCCAUUUUUUUCGAUUUAAUUUUCUAAUGUUGCUUGGAUAAUGUAAGAUUGAAGUACAUGCUAGCUUCAUUGUAUUGAUGCAUAGGUGGAGUUGGAAAUGGUUGAUGUCGCUCUUGUUGUUAGGAAUUCCCAUGCAAAAAUGAGAGCUGGCUGUGGAGAAAGGAUGGAGAGUUUCCUUUCAACAACAUGCAGAUGGUGGAAGAAGAGAUUGGUGCUAGAUAGUAGUGUGGAUGAAGUUCUUUUCCUCGCUACAUAGCUGUGUGUAAACUCUUGAAUUUGGACUUCCUGGGAAGUCACCCAACCCAGUACUAUUCAAACCCAAGGAUGCUUAACUCCAAAUAUCCCAAGACUAUUAACCAAUUGGAAAAGGGGGUGCACUUUUAUUCAUGGGCCCUUUCUUUCUAUAUUUGAACUCUAUGGAUCGUCUCUCGAAUCAUUCCUUUUGGUUGCUUACAAUCAAUGCACCACACUUCCCUGCAAGUUCACUCUAAGCAACCAAAGGAAACGACUUGAAAGACGAUUCAUAGGGGUUCAAAUAUAGAGGGAAAGGGCCCAUGAACAAGAGUGCACCCCCUUUUCCAAUUCGUUAAGGGUCUUGGGAUAUUUUGGGGUUAAGUGUCUUUGGGUUUGAAUAGUAUUGGGCUGGGUGACCUCCCGGGAAGUCCAAAUUCAAGGAGCUUACAUUUGGUAUCGGAGCGGUCUCAGGUCCAACUCUGUUGAUUGGCUAGGGGAAUCACACCACAUGUUGAUUGACAUCUGGCUGGUCCAGUUUGCUCCCGCUGGGCUCGACCCGAGGGGUAGGGUGUCAAGAGAGCGGGGCUCUCGGGAGAGCUGCGGCUCUCUCAGCUUUCGUUCACGAGGGCGUGAACUUGUAGGGAAGCGUGGUGGAUUGUAAGCAACCAAAGGGAACAACUUAAAAAACGAUCCAUAGGGGUUCAAAUAUAGAGGGAAAGGUCCCAUGAACAAGAGUGCACCCCCUUUUCCAAUUGGUUAAGGGUCUUGGGAUAUUUUGGGGUUAAGCGUCCUUGGGUUUGAAUAGUACUGGGCUGGGUGACCUCCCGGGAAGUCCAAAUUCAAAGAGCUUACAUUCACGCCCUUGUGAACGAAAGCUGAGAGCCAUAGCUCUCUCGAGAGCCUUGCUCCCUUGAUACCCUACCCUUUGGGUCAAACCCAGCCGGAGUAUACUGGACCCUUACCAGAUGUCAAUCAACAUGUCGUGUGAUUCCUUUAGCUAACUAACAGAAUUGGACUCGAAACCUCUCUGAUACCAAAUGUAAGCUCCUGAAUUUGGAUUUCUUUGGAGGUCACCCAACCCAGUAUUAUUCAAACUCAAGAACACUUAACCCGUAUCUCAAGACCCUUAACCAAUUGAAAAAGGGGGUGCAUUCUUAUUCAUGAGCCCUUUCCCUUUAUAUUUGAACCACAUGGAUCAUCUUUUGAGUUGUUCCCUUUAGUUGUUUAUACUGUGGUGCUUCAUGAGAAAUGGAUGGCCAUCAUUUUAAAUUUUGAUGUGAGGGAUAAUUUUUUGAGCAAGGAAUAGGUUGCCACUUUCUAGCUUGAAGCUAUUUUAGUAGAGCAAUUGUGCUGGGUUAUGUGAGUAGAAGAGUUCAAGCAAAUGGUAUAUAAAUUUCCUAAAACAAAUAAGGAGUGAACCUUAAACCAACCUCCUAACCCUUAAGGCAAUACAGCCUUCAUGAAGUAUCCUCCAUGCUUUGUGUCAUUCUCCCCUCCCUCAUGACCCAAUCAUAGAUAGCAGCCUCAAAAAGCUAAGCAAGCCUUACAUAAAAGGAGUCUAAGGCAAUAUGGCCAUAAAGAAAAGAUGUGCAAAUGGCAACAUUAACAUCGUGACAAACAACCACAAAAGAAAGAAAGCAAUAUAGCUUUCUCACAUGACAAUAUGCUCAUGAAAACAAAAAAAUGAGAAUAGAACAAUAACUCAAAUCAUAUAGCAAUACAGCUAUAGAUAUUAAUUCUCCCCUUCCUUAGGUAUGUCAUCCAAGUUAUAACUAAAACUCAAAAACACAAUUUCCCAUGUAACUUUGUCUAUGGAAUAACCAUUCUAUUAAAUAAACAACUCCCUAGUUAUCUUCUUAUAUGUUUUCAACAAUCCUUGAGCAAGAAUAUUGGCCAAACCAGCCUUCUUAGCAUCAAUAUCUAGGAGUUGGAUGAUGGGUUGAUCCAUGAUAUCACUAGAGUGCAAACACACUUUAAGCUUGCUCAUAUAGAAUAUUGAAUGAAUCUUCAAAUUAACAAGUUUUGUAAAUAAGUUCUCCCACAUACUGUAAAAUUGUCUAAGGCCCACAAUACAACUUAGCACUAUCACCUCCUUUUAGAAACCAUUAUGCAUUCGAUAGUUUAAGGAAAACUUUGUCACCGACUUUAUACUCUUGAUGAUAAUGAUGUUCAUCAACCAAUCUUUUGUCUUGAUCUUGAGCUUGCUUCAUGUUUAGCUUUGCCAACUCAAGCCUAUCUUGCAUAUCCUCUAAGAAAUCACAAGCAUGAGGCAUCCGAACCAAAGCCAAAAUCAAAGCUCAUAUAUGCAAGAGGAUGUUUAACUUGAAGCAAUAUGGCCCCAAUAGCAAUGUCACUCAUAUAUAUCCCAACCAUAAGAGGCUUAGCAUUUGUUCACCUUUGCAAAACAAUCCUUACACUAAUGUCUAACCUUGUGGUAAUGAAAACAAUUGCCCUCCGCUUUGUCCUUCUCUCGCUAGUCUAAAUGAAGGUUUUAAGCCUCAUUAUCAUCUCCACUCUUCGAGCCAAGAUAUAGCAAUGGUUGUUUCUUCCCUGAAUAUGAAAUAUUGGCUAGCUAGUCAUAACAUUGACUACCCUAUAAACCAUUAUGUUGACCAUAGUUGACUGAGUUGACUGAUGGUUUUGGCAAAAAGAUCUGAGCUUUAAUGAUAGCAUUAGUCAACAUUGCUAAACAAUCCUUCUUGAUCUUUUGCUACACAUCCACUAAGCUUAAUCCUUUGAUGACACAUUACACCUUUAGUAGCUCAUUAUAGGUGCUUAUGAAAGAUCACAGAACAUGUGGGCAUACACAUCUAAAGACAAAGUUUCCUGCCUUCUCUAGUUGUUGAUUCACAAAAUCAAUCUCUUCAAACUUCUUGACAAAUGAAGUGUGAAAAACCUUUGUCAAAUCACUCUAAGAAGUCAUCUUAAGAUUAGCUUUUAUGUAGUUCUUCCACUACAAAGAAGCAUAGCCUGUAAACUUCAUCACAAAAAAAUCAAUCUUCAUAUUAUUUUUACAAGAGUUGUGAGACCAACAACUUUCUUACAAUUCCAACCUAGCUAUCAUAAACAUCUAGUGAUGAUUUCCAUUCCACAAUACCAUAAUCUUUGGCAUGGUUGAUGUACCAAUGGUAAUCACAGUCAUGAAUUGAUUCAACCUUUAAGGGUCCAUGUGAAGCAGGAAAUCUUUAAUGAGAUUGAUGGAAUUUUAACCUCCUUAAUAUCGCUCUUAACCUAAAAAAUUUGGUGUCGUUGCCAUAUAAUGACAUCAUCAAGAGAUUCUUCCACCUCAUCAUAGCUAUAUCAUUUAAUGCCAUACUUCUCAUUAGGAUCUAUAUCAAUGUGUGCCACCAGAAAAUCCAAGUCAAUUAAAAAUUCUAGAAUCUUGAUCAUCAAACUUGGAAUUGAUAUGAACUACAAACAUAUUCACUACUUCAAUACUAAUGAAACAAACAAGGAGCAAACCCUAGGCCAAACUCCCAACCCUUAAGGUGUUAUUGUAGCGCACCUUAUUUAGGGGUAGGAAUAUACCUUGCUCAAGGGUAUAUUAUACUUUUAAGUAACCAUUAAUCAAUGGAAAUCGAACCUGUGCCAUUUUCUCUUAUACCAACUGUAGUGCACCUUAUCUCUCUCCCCUUAAGCCAACUGGAAAAAGGGGCAAUUGCUUGAUGAGAGAGCCCUUAGUGGCUAUUUUAUCCCCAUUUAUCCCCCAAGGUUCCAAGGAUCCACGAUGACAGUAUAUUCAAAUAUCAUCCCAUGAUCACAUGCGCUACAAUUAUGGCCUUAAAUCCCACAAGCCAUGGAGUAUUCUCCCUUGGAAAAUGGACAACUAUAUCCUACUGGGAUGAGAUUUCUCUAAGACUGCAAGAGUGUCUUAUUAGUGGAACAAUCCUCUUCAUUUAUGGAUUCUUUAUCCAUAUGAUAGUGAAAUGGUACAAAUCAGCAUGGAAGAAAGUGACAAGCCAAGUGAGCAAGUUUUUAUCAUGGUGUUGGGAUUAAGAGCUGAAAAUCAAGCUAUGCAAAUGCUAGUGGCAUUCUUGACAAUGGACAGUUCUGAAGCAUAGGAACCAAAGUGAAUGCAUAUUUGGAGAAUGCAAGACUUACAACGAUGAUAAAUCUAGGAGCACUUGGCAAAUUUUUUACAAAGAAUGGAGUAACUUGAGCAAGCUUGACAAUUAUGCCACUAUCUAAGCAUUAUAUAGCCAUGUGUGCUGAUGGUGGAACUUUUCCAGUGCUCAGGUUUACAAUUGACAUGGGUAUUAGUGAAGGAAAUUUUUAUGAAUUGUCAUUUUUUGUGAUCGAAGGGAUCACAAGCAACAUACCUGUGACCUUGGGAGCAGCUUGGAUUUUUCAUAUGCAAGCUAACCAUGACUAUGCAAUUGAUAGAUUGGUGGUUGAGGAUGAUUAUGACUUCAUUCAGAAGAUUAUCUUGGAUGAGAAUUAAGAGCUUGACUUUGAGUUUUCUUAUAUCCUAAAGGUUGAGAAGGCUUCCAAGUUAAUUCUAAAAGAUCAUCCAAAUUAAUUUUUCAACCUACCCUAAGGUUCAAAGUGGAGUGGUGAUGCAAUGGAGCUUUUUGAGGUAUCUUGGGGAUGGUUGUUUAGGGAGACUAAAUCUUUGUCUUUUAAUACUAAAUUAUAACAUUGGUAUAAAAGAAGUUUGUUGUGAUGGCCGACCAAAAUCCUAUUGUCAAUGGUGGUGUCGAUAGGUUUGAAUUAUUCAUGAUGUUGUUCAUGAGCUGCAAUCCCUUAAUCAAAAUUAGAAGAGAUGUAAAAUGAGAUGUAUGGCAUGAUGGCUACCAUGUAUGGUCAUGUUAAAAACACUACAAGGUUAAUUAUCCACAAUUGAAGAAUAAGUAGUAGAGCAAAAAGAAUGGUCAAUCUUUUAAUGAUUGUAUAUUGGAUACUAAGAAGCUACAAAAUUUGCAAUGUGAGAAUAAUGAGGAAAACUAUUUUGGUCAAAGGAAAAGGCUUUUGAUUGUUACUUGUCAACUCAACUAUGUGUGGAAUAAGACAAAGCUUGAGGACACUUAUAUAUUAGCUUUAAUGCUGGAAGGCAUGUUUCAUUGAGGUCUAAUGUGGAUUUUAUUGGAUAGUAAAAGUAUUAAUAACUUUGUUUUGGCAAAAUUUGUUAAGAAGCAUGGCUUAGUGACACAAGGAGUUUAUUCAUAUAUAAUGGUGUAAGCAACAAAAAUAAAAAACUUGAGAAAAAGUUUUUUGGUUCAAAUAUAAAAGGAAAGGGUUUAUGAAUAAGAGUGCAUCCUUUUUCUCCAAUUGGUUAAAAGUCUUGGGAUAUUUGGGGUUAAAUGUUUUUAAGUUUGAGUAGUACCUUCCUUCCUAAUCGAUUAAGGGUCUUAAGACACUUAGGGUUAACUGUCCUUGGGUUUGAGUAAUAUUAGGUUUAAGAAAUCCAAAUUCAAUAACUUACAGGUGGAAAGUGCAACUACCCCUCAGCAUUUCAAUGUUUAUGGGGGAAUAAGGCACGUAUGAGGGAGAGGCUGCAAUAUGGGAUGUGUGAGACAAAAAUCCCUAAGUCCCCAAAUGGAGCCUAAAAGUGUGUCACAUGGUAGUGGUUAAAGCAAAAGUUUAAGAAGCGUAACACAUUUGGACUAAAAAUUCCAACUUGGAAAGUCAAAAGUGAGAGUGGAACUCCAAACAAAGUGCUCGAGGAAUGAAUACAAAGCGAUCAAUGAAUGAGUCUCUAAAAAGGGACACAAGAGAACUAAUAUAUGAUAUGUGAAAGUGUCGAAACUGAGUCCAAGAUAGAGUUCGAGAAGGAGUCUGAGAUGGAGUCCAAAAAGAAGUCUGAGAAAGAGUUUGAGAAGGAGUCCAAGAUGGAGACUAAGACCAGAGUUUGAGACCAAGACUGAGACUAAGACCAAGUUCAUGUCCUAAUCCGAAUUUGAGUCUGAAUACUAAUACAAAUUGUGGGGUAAAAGCCCAAAGCGGUUAUCCCCCCCCUUUAAGAUCCCCCUCCUCUCAAGGGGGAGAAGAAUUAUUAAGCUUAAUUUUGACCAUAUGGCCAACAUGGGAAGCUCAAGGGUAUAUUAACCUUAGAGUUCACACUGGAGUAACAACAUAAUGGAGCUUUUGAGGUAGCUUUGGGGUGGUUAAAUGGUGAGGAACCUUAAGAGGAGGUGUAAUAUAGUUUAGGGAAACUAAAUCUUUGUCUUUUAGUGCUAGAUUAUAAAUGGGAUCAUCCUAUGUUUUAUGCAAGCAAAUAGUUAUCUUCAACUGAAAAGAAUUAUACAAUGAUAGAGUGUGAUAGGGAAUGGUGUUCACUUUUAUGAAGUUCUAAUACUACCUUCUAGGAAAACCUUUUAUCUUUUAUCUGGACCAUCAAGCCCUUAAAUACCUAAUGAAUAAGCCUUACCAUCACAACUAUAUUACUCACUAGCUUUUGCUCCUUCAGGAAUUCAAGUUUAAAAGUGUUUUGAGAUUUUCUAGAUAUUGUGCUUUUUAUGGUGGAGGAUGGAGACCCAAAUUCUUUGGAUUUAUAUAAGGUUGAGCCUAUCCCUACAUGGUAUCACACUAUUGCAAAGUUUCUAGCUACGGGAACAUUUCUAAAGGGCAAGGAAAUGGCUUUUCUACUAAUCUUGAGCUUAUACUCUAAUUGCAGGAAGACUAUAUAAAGAAGGCCAUGUGUAACCCCUUCCCAGGAGGUCACCCAACCCAGUACUAUUCAAACCUAAGAACAUUUAACCCCAAAUAUCCCAAGACCCUUAACUGAUUGAAAAAGGGGGUGCACUCUUGUUCAUAUUCCUUUAUAUUUGAACCUUUAUAGAUCGUCUCUCGAGUCAUUCCCUUUGGUUGCUUAGAAUCUACUACACCUCCCUAUAAGUUCACACUCUCGUGAAUGGAAGCUGAGAGCCACAGUUUUCUUGAGAGCCCCACUCUCUUGAUACCCUACCCCUCGGGUCGAGCCCAGUGAGAGCAAACAAGACCUGCCAAAUGUCAAAUCAACAUGUGGUGUGAUUCCCCUAACCAAUCAACAAAGUUAGUCUCGAAACCUCUCUGAUACCAAAUGUAAGUUCCUGAGUUUGGACUUCGCAGGAGGUCAUUCAACCCAAUAUUAUUCAAACCCAAGGACACUUAACCCCAAAUAUCCCAAGACCCUUAACUAACCCUUAUGGAUUGUCUCUCGAGUUGUUCCCUUUGGUUGUUUACACCGUGAUAGAUGUUAUAACAUUGUAUCUUGUUGCCAUAAGUUUAAUAAGUUGUUGCCUCAUGCCAUGAUUUGCUAUAUGGAACACAGUUAUGACUAUUUGAUUGAUUAUCAAGCAAGAUAGUAGUGGACUCUUCAAUAGGAUGUAGUGUGUAGCUGUGAUCCAUGCCAACAAAGUUUAUGUGGAGCUAUGAUCCUUAUUAGCAUAUUGGACAUCCUACUUGGCGAGAUGCAAUGCCCUUUAUAUAACUCUAACUCUACCUUUUAAGAAGUGGGGAAUUGACUUUAUGGGACCAUUUUGACAUAAGAUGAAUUACUAUAUCAUGGUAUGCACAGAUUAUAUGGCCAAAUGGGUGGAAGCAAAGGCAUUCCAAGUAGAUACCACAGAGAAAGUGGCUGAGUUCUUGUAUAAGAACAUCAUUAUUAGUUUUGGCUGCCUAUUGAAGUUAGCUCACAUUUUUUAAAUAUGACUAUUGCUGCUCUCACUACUAAAAAUAGAAUUUCUUAUUGCAGUUUGACAUCUUAUCAUCCUCGAAAAAAUGGCUAAGUUAAGAGGACUAAUGAGACGCUAUACAACACCAUGACCAAACUUUGCAAUGCUAGUAUUAGUGACUGGGAUUACAAGCUUUUCAAUAUACAAUGGGUUUACAAAGUUGCCUCUAAGAUAUAUCAAGGGGCUAGAGUGUGCCUACUACCAAAAAGACCAUGGGUUUCCCUUUAUUUUAGAUUGAAUAUGAUUAAUUAAUGGGGGUUAGCAAUAAUACACUUGAGGUAUCGACUAUGAGAGAAAAAAUACAAAAAUGUAGUGCAUAUGGUUUUCCUUUUCCCUUUAUCUUAUAGUGAUUUACCAUAGGAUAACCAUGAAGUGGAACUUAAACCCUUCAUUUGCCAUGUGUCAUAUGCCACAUAUCCAAGGAUAGUGGAGUGGAACACAAGUUUUAGGGGCCUUGAGCCACUAAAUGAAGGUAUGAAGCCAAACUCCUAAGUUUGCAGCUAAGGAGCGAAGGAACUAGAGCACGAAGUGACUCUUAAGUGUUCAACCCAAGGAGAGAGAGGACAUGAACAUAGAGCAAUAUUGGAAUAGUCCUAAAGCAUCUACCAUCCCAAUGCUAAGACUAGCAUGCAAAAUAAAGUCAAAUGGAGUCUGACACAACUUCAACAUACUGAUAGCCUAAUACAAGGAUAUAGGUACUCCACCAUUGGUUUAGUUAGCCAUGCCUGACUUACCCACUAUCCCUUAUACAUUUGGAACCCCAUAGUUCCCCCCUCCCCUCCCUCUUGAGGAACACAUGCUUUAGGGUUUCACCAUUAAUCACCCAGGAGUUAGUCAUUAGGACAAGUGUGAAAUUUACUAAAUAUAGAAUGGCACUAGAUUGCAAAUUUAGACACGGGACCAACACCAUUGUGUUCAAGACAAUCUCUACAUUUUGUAGAUAUGCUAAAUUAGCAAAUCUAAAUAGUUUCCAUAAAUAUUCAUGGAACCAAACAGAACCAAUAUGUAGGGCAUGAUAAUGAGGGUGUUUGAUAAACAUGGUAAAUUAUCAUCUGGCGAUAUUGAGGGAUUAAUCUCAAUACACGAGGGUUUUUGUCAAGUUAGUGCAAAACAAAGCAAAAGAGAACUAAAAGCUAGGCAGAAUAUGCUCAAUAAGAAACACAUAGGAGUUCUUACCUUAUAUUUAUUUUGGCUAAGUACAAAUGCUAAGCUCAAUUUACUCACACUUGAACAAGAGGGAUUGAUAAAUACCAAGCUCCUACCGUCAUGGCAAUAAAGAAAAAAUAUCCAAAAAAACUAAUUGACAAGUAACUUUUGAUACUUACAAUCACAUUUGUGACAAAAAGAGCAUUUUGGUGGAAAGCAAAGAGUAAGUGGGUGAUGUGGUGGAAAGCAACACUAACACUGUUAAUAAAGUUGAUGUUGAGGAGAACAAACCCCUAGACUAUUGUGGUGAUAAUUAGCAUUGGAGGGUGAGGAGGCUUAAAUCCCUAGGCAAUAGUGCUCUAUGCUCACUUAUUUUGGUGUUUGUGAAAUUUCCCUCCAUAUUUUUUGGUGCACUACAUGGGAACAAAGAAUGAGCAUAGAGAGUGGGAGAAGAGUGAGUGCUGAAUAUGUCAAGUUACCUUCCCCAAGUUGAUAACCAUCUUAUUUUAGUUUGGAAGAUGUGGAGAGAAAGGAAUUGCUAAAGAAAAAAUUAACCUACUCUUACCAUGAAACUAACAAGAAGAAAAAGGAGAUAUCAAGUAGAGUAGUUUAUUUAAGAGGUUUUAAAGUAAAAAGUGCUCUGAGAUGCAGCACAAUCAUUGGCGGGGUGAUGUCAAGGUACUAGAGUAUGCCUAUGACUGAGACAAAGUCAUUUCCUUUGCUAAUAUGCUAAUAGGCUAAAUAUGAUUAAUUAGUGGAGAUUAACAAUAAUCUUAGGGUUGUGAAAAUACAAAAUAAAAAAGGUUUGAAAAAGCAAAUGGGUGGUAUGAUGGAAAAAGCAAGUGUUGAGAAGGAUGAACCUCAAUUAACACUGGAGUGUGAGAAGGUUCAAGUCCCUAGGUAGUAGUGGUUUCUCCAUACAUUUCCCUCCAUAGAUAAUUACAUAGUUCUCACCAUUUUAAUUAGUUUAUGGCUAAUAGGUGAUCCUUCCUCUCAAGCUGGAAGUUCCUUCCUUUUGGACACCAGCAGCUCAAAUUAUGAUUGGGAUGGAGCUAUUUAGUAGUGGCUAGAGCAGUUGGAGAAGCUGGAUGAGACUCACCUCCUUCCUUUUCAAGCUUGUGAAGCUCUUCAAUGUCAAUGCAGGAAAGUGGUAUGAUUGUUAUAUACGGGCUAAGAGAUUUCAGGCAAAAGAUCUUGUGCUGCUAUACGAGAGUAAAAUAUUGGAAGUGGGCCAGCAAGCUCAAGAUUCAUUGGAUUAGCCUAUACUGUGUGAAGACCGUGAACACCAAUGGUUCAGUGGAGAUUGAGGAUUUCAGUGGUAAUCCUCUUCCAACAUUGGUGAAUGGAGCACAACUUCAUACAUUCAAUUUGGAGAGGAGUGCUUUGAGGAUGUUGUACAUUUGCCACUGGGAUGAUGUUGAGGGCCAGAGCCAUCUCAAGACUUAGUCCAAGUUGGGGGCUUUUCUCCUUUUUUUUUCUUAGUUAUAGUGAGGGGAAUAUUUGGUUUGGAAGGGAUGCAUCCCUUAGAGGUUGACAAGAGGGAGGAUGGCUGUUUUCUAAGCAUAGCAUGUGUGGGAGUGAAGGGAGUGGAAUAAAGAAUGUGUUCGUGGGAAGAUGCCUUGAUCAACAGCCUUGGAGUGCAUGGAGUGGAGGUUGACAAUGCAGCAGCAUCUAUGAGCAUUCAAAGAGCACAUCAUGAUCAGGAUCUCUUCAGACCAGCAGAUUUGUGUUCAUUGUCCUACUUGUGAACAGCCCUAGGUGAGGUUCCUGGUAGAGGUUCUCAUGGAGAUUGCCAAUGAGGCUAGGGAUAAUAGUGAUUUCUCCACUCUUGCUGGUGUUUUGUCACAAGGAGUGACACUCUUUUGACUCUAGAAAGACUCAUUUAAAGCAGUUACUAUCCAGCUUUCCCUAGAAGGUUCGUUUUUAAGUGUGACGCACAAAUUGAGAUUACAUGAGAUAAAAUGAAAUAUUCAAGAUAUACUUGUCAUAUUCAAGUCCUGAUUUCCUGUGAUUCAUUGAGUAUUUAAAGGCAUGGAUGCCCCUCAGCUUACACUAUCCAAGCAACAUUAGAAAAUUAAAUCGAAGAAAAUGGCAAAAUCAAGCAUAGCAUUCAUUCUCCCACUUGGUUGCCUCCUCCUUGUGAGUGUUGUUCAUGUUUCAGCGUUAGACAGUGAUGUUAGUGGAGACCUCUCUGGUAUAGUAUAUAUAACUUGGUCUAAAGUUUCGUUUGACUCUUUGUCCAUGUAAAUUUGUUUGCAAGGCACUAUGAGGUCUCUAAAGGAGGUACUUCCCACAAAUGGGACUUCAUCAGCAUCAGACAUUAGUGUCCCACUGGAUGUGGUUGACAAAGUACUUGCAAUAGUCACUCAAGUUAUAGCCAGUCUAAAGGACCUCGUCCUCAAAGUUCCUUUUGCUAUGUGUCAUCCUUUAUCCAGUGAUUAUCAUCCUUGAGAUCAUUGUCAUCUACAUCCCUGGUGGCUUCCCUUGCCCACUUAUCAUUGGCGUCAUCUGCAAGUAUCUGCGCAAUGCCAUUCCUGUGUGGACUCCAAUCAAGUUCAUCAAAGUUGAUCUAACUGUUAUCUUGAGCCUCACCACAACUAUCAAGCUUCUGCAGAGUGUGAUUAUCCUUGUUACUCCAAACAGUUGCAUUUUCCUUGUGCUGAGUGCACUGGUCAAUAUCCUUAAGUCCGUUCUUGCAUUACUCUAUUAACCUGUCCGAUAAAGUUUAAAAUAAACAACGAAAUAAAACUCUACUAAUCUUAAACAUGAUGUCAGAUUGCCCACCAUCCCCCGCAGUCUCAAUGCUCGAGAUUCGUCCUUGGGCAGAAACCCUUCGCAGAUUUUGGAGUUUGGAGGACAGAAUCUAGAUUGCGCUUGAUCAUUUCUCUAAUUAAAAAGGCUAUGAAAAUCUUGUUGUAUCCAAAUCAGCUGGACAUGCAUUGCAACAAAGUCGUCGUCCAGAUCGAGCUCGUCAGAUUUCACACUAAAGCUAAGAUUCCCCUCGUGGUCAUGGACUCGGUUCUGCCGCCAUGUGCCUUUGACUUGGUGGCAACGUCACCAAGAAGGCCAGCACACUCUCACUUGAAUCAAUUCGCUCACCAGGGCAGCCAUUCAGAACUCAAGGUGAAAGACACAGAGCUGCAACCAAGUAGUAUUUAUGGGACAGACUAAUAUACUACUAGGCAUGGUCACGUGACGCAAGCGGCACAAUGCCGCUACCCAAAAUAGUGGCCGUAGCGGAAAGCCAUGCAGCGCUCGGAGAGACUGAAGAAUGGCACAAGCACUUCCAGCACAAACAACACCACCAUAAAGACUCAUCAGUCUCGCCGCUGCUGACCCGGUACUGAUCCCCACCACCCCGAAACCCACAGCUCGAUGCCCGCAGAAUCUAUGACCGGCCCUCCAGCCGAAACAGCAGCAAUCACCAACAGCAUCUUGUUGAACGAAAGAAAACACCUCGUGCUGAUGGUGAACAGCGCUUUCAGGUCGUCUCCUUGAAACCCGAGUGUGUAAAGAUUCAGUCUCAGAGAUUUUUCAGACCACUCUGCCGAUGUGGAUUGAAGACUCUCUUGUUGGACUGCUGGCUUCUGGCUUUAAAGAUUGUAUAAAUUUAAUUAGAUAAAAGAAACGUAAGAUUUCCCCUAACAUUUAGUCAGAAACGUCAUAGCUUCAACAUAACCCUAUAUAAAAAAAGUUUGGUAAAAUUUGUAGAGUAUAACAUGUUUGCUGGGGCACAUAAGGGGUGAUGCUAUCUACCUACUCUUCCUUUACUCACUCUCAAGCUUGAGCAGCCCUUUGCUCCUUCGUUCAUAUGUUGUGCCUCAGAUUGAUAACUAAGCAACAUUAGGUGAUUAAAUCGAGCAUGAUGUUCAUGCAUGCCUCCUCCUUGUGAGUUUUUUUUUCAUGUUUCAGCCAUAGUGGAGACAUCUUUGGUAUGGCAAACUUGCUUUCUAAAGCUUGGGUCGUAUCCAGUGGGGCAAAGAGUUUCCACAAGGGUUAUGAACAUCUGAAUCAGAACAACUAUGUAGGUUUAAGAGUGUGAUCCAAACCUUGAACAGAGUCAUUUUUGAAAACAUCUGAAAGUAUAUUUUCCCAUUGGAGAAAGUGACGACAUCACUUCCCGCAGCAUCACGACGUCACUAAUCUCAUUUGGUUUCCUAGGAUCAGAUUUAUGCUCAAAUUUAGGAUAAAAGAUGACACUUAGCAGAAGACAAGGUCCUUUGGCUUGGCUUGUGGCUUCACCGGUUUAGGGUGAAGCCACAACCACAACAUCACAUUCUCUACUCGCCACCACAGCGCGCAUUGGGACGGGUCCUAGUGAAAGCCAAGAGACUCAGACCUUGUCCUCAAAGUUCCUUUGCUAAGUGUCAAUCCUUUAUCUGAUGAUUAUCAUCCUUGAGAUCAUUGUGAUACACAUCCCUGGUGGCUUCCCUUGCCUGAUUAUCAUUGGGUGUCUGCGCAAUGCCAUUACAGUGUAGACUCCAAUCAAGUUCAUCAAAAUUGAUCUAACUGUUAUCGUGAGCAUCUCAAAGUUCCUUUGCUUGGUGUCAUCCUUUAUCCAGUGAUUAUCAUCCUUGAGAUCAUUGGGGGAUCAUUGUGAUGUUGGUGGCCGAUUAUCAUUGGCAUCAUCUGCAAGUAUCUGUAUGUAGACACCAAUCAAGUUCAUUAAAGUUGAUCUCGUGAGCCUCAGGAAUUAUCAAUCUCUCGUGAUUAUCUUUGGCAGUUGCAUUUUCCUAGUGCUGGGUGCACUGGUUAAUAUCCUUAAGUCGGUGUUGAGAUUACUCUAUUAAAAUUGUAUCAUGAAAUUUAAGUAUUUUAUGUUCGCAUCAUGUUCCCACCAGGCCAGGUGGCCUUUGCAUUCGGCAGAAACAAGGAAUUGGUUUUGGUCACCAAAAAUGUCAGCGUACUAUCCCUUGAAUCAGUCUGCUCUGGGAAUAGAAAACCAGGACAGCCAUUCCGGAACUAAAAUGGUCUAAAUGGACGAGGCAGUGUGAGAAGUGCAAAAGAGUGACUAUUCAAAAGAAAGUACUGCUCUGGAGAAUUAAGCUGCUGCGAACAACUACUACUACUAGGCAUGAUAAGUGGCAGCAACGCCACUACCCACAACCGAUGCUAUGCUUGAAUUAGCAGAAAGACCUGCAGCCCCUGCAGAUUGGAGAAUGGCGCACAGACUUCCCGCAGGAGCAGCACCUCCGUAAAGACUCAUCAGACUCGCCGCUGCCGACCCGGUGCUGAUCCCGCAGCCCCAAAACCCGCAGCUGCGGAGAAACUACGGCUGGUGUUGCUACUUUCCACCCACUAUUCACAAUGCUUGCAGGACAGCUAGGCUAGUUGAAAAUGCCAUGGUUGACUUCAAUGUUCGAGUACCUUACAGAGCAUCACCAAAGGCACAACACGGCGUUAGACGAGACGAGCACCAGAUAGAUUGACAAGUAGCCUUUUCGUUCCGCUGGCAAUAGCAUUGCGCUAUACCCAGGCACGGCAACUCAUCAUGGAUCUGGGCGGCAGGCAGCAGGGGAACGUGGACACCAGUUGUAGCACAAUAAAAGAUAAACUUGUCGGUGGCCUAAAAGUUUGGUAGAAUUUGUAGAGUAUAACAUGUUUGCUGGGGCACAUAAGGGGUGAUGCUAUCUACCUACUCUCCCUUCACUCACUCUCAAGCUUGAGCAGCCCUUUGCUCCUUCGUUCAUAUAUUGUGCCUCAGAUUGAUAACUAAGUGAUUAAAUCUAAGAAAAUGGCAAAAUCAAGCAUGAUGUUCAUUCUUUCACUUGCAUGUCUCCUCCUUGCGAGUUUUUUUCAUGUUUCAGCCAUGGUGGAGACAUCUUUGGUAUGGCAAACUUGCUGUCUAAAGUUUUGUUGUUAAUUACUUUUAAAUCUUUUUGCAAGGCAUACAGGAGGUACUGCCUACAAAUGAAACUUCAUCAGCAUCAGACUGGAUCUAGUUGACAGAAUGGUCACUGAAAGUCUUAGCAUCUGAUUCUUGGGUCGUAGGCUGGGCAAAGGGUUUCCACAUGGGUUAUGAAGGUAAGAAUGAAACUGAAUCAGAAUAACUACUAUGUAAGCUUAAGAGUGUGAUUCUCAGAUUUGGGCAUGCUUAAGCAGAGCCAUUUUUUAAAACAUCUCAAAGUAUAUUUUCCCAUCGGAGAAAGUGACGACAUCACAUCAUGACAUCACUAAUCUCAUUAGAUGAGGAUCAGAUUUAUGCUUAAAUUUAGGAUAAAAGAUGACACUUAGCAAAGAAACUUUGAAGACAAGGUCCUUUGGCUUGGCUUGUGGCUCUACUUUUCUACCAUAACAUCACAUUCUCUACUCACCACCACAACGCGCAUUGGGACAGGUUCUAGUGGAAGCCAAGAGACUCAGACCUCGUCCUCAAAGUUCCUUUGCUAAGUGUCAAUCCUUUUAUCAUCCUUGAGAUCAUUGUGAUAUACAUCCCUGGUGGCUUCCCUGAUUAUCAUUGGGUAUCUGGGCAAUGCUAGACUCCAAUCAAGUUCAUCAAAAUUGAUCUAACUGUUAUCGUGAGCAUCUCAAAGUUCCUUUGCUUGGUGUCAUCCUUUAUCCGGUGACUAUCAUCCUUGAGAUCAUUGGGGGAUCAUUGUGAUGUACAUCCCUGGUGGCCGAUUAUCAUUGGCAUCAUCUGCAAGUAUCUGUAUGUAGACACCAAUCAAGUUCAUUAAAGUUGAUCUCGUGAGCCUCAAGAAUUAUCAAUCUUCCGUGAUUAUCUUUGGCAGUUGCAUUUUCCUAGUGCUGGGUGCACUGGUUAAUAUCCUUAAGUCGGUGGUUUAACAUGAAAUUUAAUUAUGUUCGCAUCAUGUUCCCACCAGACCAAGCAGAAUUUUAGGAAUCGUACAAUGGAUGUAGUCCGAACCAAGUCUGCCAUCAAAGGUGGCCACCCAUGAUGCUCUCGUAUGUCGAGUUCGUUCUUUGGGAAAUAGGAGUAAAAGUUUGAAGUUGCAUAUUUCUUUACUGUAUUUACACAGAAUUGGAGAGUUGGCUGAUCUUCUUGGAGUGACGCUCUCUCCAGGAGGUGUAGUUCGGCCUGCUCUUGGAGCCAAAAGUUCUGCACCGCAGUCCUCGUCCAGAUCGUCAGGGACUCGGCCAAUCCUGCUGCCAGGUGGCCUUUGCAUUCGGCAGAAACAAGGAAUUGGUUUUGGUCACCAAAAAUGCCAGCGUACUAGAAUCAGUCUGCUCUGGGUAUAGAAAACCAGGACAGCCAUUCCAGAACUAAAAUGGUCUAAAUGGACGAGGCAGUGUGAGAAGUGCAAAAGAUUGGCUAUUCGAAAGAGGGUACUGCUUUGGAGAAUUAAGCUGCUGCAAACAGUUACUUUGGAACAGUAAUACAAACAGCACCUCUGUAAAGAUUAGACUUUAACCCCCCCCUUACUUGGCUACCCCCUUGCCACGCUCACUCCUCGCUCCCUCUGUGGCACUUUGUGUCACGCCUGAGUCCUAAAUGUUUAACGACUAAAAUUAAAUUAGUAACGUUAAAAUUUAAUUAGUAGAUGUUGUUAACAGGUACAUUAACGACUAUAAUUUUGUAUAAUUUAUAAGUAUAUAACCUACACUUGGUUUAGAUUUUUUCUCAUGUUCCUUUUUAUAUUUUCUUUCUUAUUUUUAUCAUUCUCUUUUGUAUAUAGGAAUAUAUAAAUCAUUCUUACUUUUUCUGUUCUUAUUGAGAGAAUUAAUAAUAAAACAAUCUUUAAUUUAUAGUAAUGAAGUGGUUAUGCAAAUCCAAAUAAGCAAAUGGGGCCCACCCUAAAUAAAAAGGGUGCUGAAUUGUGCAUUCUACCUGAAAAUGCCAUGGUUGACUUCAGUGUUCAGGGUUAGACAAGACGAGCACCAGAUAGAUUGACAGGUAGCCUUUUUGUUCCACGCGCAACAGCAUUGCACUAUACCCAGACAUGGCAACUCAUCACGGACCUGGGCGAGCAGGCAGCAGGAGAACGUGGACAUUAGUUGUAGCACACCUGAUUAUGACGAGUACACCUGCAAAGUCGUCAGGAAUAUCAAGCUCUUGGACUUUGUUACAAAAGCAGACCAUGUUGUAUUAUGAAACGGUGUUGUGUUAUUGUUGAUACAUGGUAAAAUAUAUGGGUUUAUUGUGACGAUCCAUGGCGGCAUCUGGAUCACUCACGUGGCUGUGUGCUGACGUGGUCUCGUUCACUCCUCCUCAAGGCCAACGUCUAAAGUCAGCCCAAGAGCCUUCGUUCAAAGUUAGCUGGUUAGUCCCUACCACGUACCUCAUAAUACGUUUCAAAAGCCUGCCAGUGUGCUGUGGAGGGAUGGUCCAGGUACUUCGCCACUGUUCCCACAGCAUACACAAGGUCAGGCCAAGUGGAGAUUACCAGGUAGAUCAGGCUGCCGACCAUAGAGCGAUAGACUGCUCUAGAUGCUUUCUCCUCCUUGGGAGAUUGAUCAAGGUACUCUCCACUCUCAGCAGAUAAUUUCGUGCCUGCAUCCAUGAGCAAGGGCAUACCUCUGGAGCACGUUGGAAACAUAUUUUGCCUGGCUUAGCUCCAGAGUGCCUCGCUCCCUGUUGUGCGUCACCUCAGAAAUGUAACUCACCAAGGUCUUUCAAUCUAUUUUCGUGUACCAUUGGCGUGGCGACUGCUUGAGUCCGUAGAGAGCUUUGUUAAGCUUGCAAACGAGGUGUUCUUCUCCAGGCUGGAUAAAACCAGGAGGCUGAGCCACAUACACCUCUUCAUCGAUGACGCUGUUAAGGAAUGCAGUACAAACGUCAAGUUGAAGCUCGAGAUCCAAUUCUGCAGCUAAGAUACGAAUGGUUGUGAGUUUCACCACAAGGCUGUAAGUCUCCGUGUAGUCCAGCUCAUGAACUUGAGAAAAUCCGCAUGCCACAAAUCUCACCUUGUAGCGCUCAAUGCUUCCAUCGGUGUUGUAUUUUUUCUUAAACAACCACUUGGAUGAGACAAGCUUUCUUCGAGCUGGAAGUUCAACCAGCGACCAAGUGUUGUUUUUCUGGAGAGAAUCAUACUCCUCCUGCUGGCUGCCUGCCAGUGCUCAGCUUCUGGUUCGUGUAGAGCCGCCUAGGGACUGAUGGAGCCGUCAUAGCCCAGAAGUAGGCAUGCUUUCCUGUAGGCAUCACCUCCUUGGCCUUAAGAGAUGGUUUCACGACACGACCCGAGCGUGUCACCGGCUGGAGGAGGUGGUAGCUUGGGAAUGCGGAGGAGUGGUGGCAUCUUGAUAUAGCUCGUCGCCAACGAACAGGUCAGCCACGAGCCUGGAAAGAUCUGGCCGUUCCAGGUCGGUGGUGCUUGAGGAUGUGGCCUGUGGAGUUGUCAAGGAAGAGAAGUACCGUGAGCAGCUCCUCCUGCCAGAUCGCCUCCUCUGGGCGCUCCUUCAGCAACUCCUGGCUCUGCAUCGGCUGGAUUGUCUGGGUGGAGAUGCCAAAAUCUCAGAAAGAUCCACGAGAGGUGGUGGAGAAACAGGAGGGAGUCUCUGGGUAUCUCGAUAAAGAUGAGCUUCAUCAAACACCACAUCUCGGCUCACCAUAGGCUUUUAUCUAUGCAUUUCUCGCUCUUGGGAUCCAACUUCUAAUGAUGCCCUAAUGUCCCUGUCCCUGUAGAGAGUCUCAGCUCGUCUACCAGAAGCUACUGGAUGGCCAGUAUCGUCAAAGAUGGUGCAUCUGUCUGUGUUGAGAAGCCUUGAUCUGCUAGUACACCAGCUGAGAACACUGUCUGUCCUGCUUCUAGUACGUAGUAGACCUGGUUCACAAGCUUCUCAGCUCCACUCUCCAACUUUAUGAUGACCGUGCCUUCCACUGUUAAGGGGCGUUUGUCUCUUACAAAAACUUGCUUCUCCUGCUCCAAUGGCUGGUACUUGUGGAAAGCUAUCUUCAACUGUGUGAGGUGCAUCAAGGCUCCAAAAUCCAUCUAGAGCACUUCGGCUUUGGACACAGUGGAUGAAGAUGAAGCAAGCGUCAUCAUCAGCAUCGUGUCAGGUUGGCAUAAAAGAAGAGCUUCUUUCAGCGCGAGCUUUCUCUGCGGCUUUCUUGAUCCAGCAUUCACGCUCCACGUGGUCAGCUUUGCCGCAGUAGCUACAUGGGCCCUUGCGUUUUUUAUUGGUUGCAAAUCCAGGGCUGGGAGAAGGGCCUUUUUGUCCUCGAACAGGGCCAUCUCGUUUCUUCCCACCCGAUUGCUUUCCCAUGAUCAAGGCCUGCUCCACCCGAGCAGCCUGAGAGCUGUGACAUGAAAUCCGCAUAGAGAUGAAUCCCUCUGGUGCCGCAGCGUCGCCAUCGCCAUCAUCUCUCAUUCUCUAUCAAAAUAUUUCGAGAUAGAAUUAAAAACCCUCACGGCUAUGGUGUCGCUAGGAAAUAUUUCCACCCCAGCCACGAUCAAUCCCACUCGCUACGCUGCUGCUGCCGGAUCGAGCAAACACCAAUGCAAGCUUCCAUCGCCGCGAGGGAUGAACUGCUAGGGCUCAUCUCUGAUGGCCUUUUUAAUUAGAGAAAUGAUCAAGCGCAAUCUAGAUUCUGUCCUCCAGACUCCAAAAUCUGCGAAGGGUUUCUGCCCAAGGACGAAUCUCGAGCAUUGAGACUGCGGGCAAUCUGACAUCAUGUUUAAGAUUAGUAGAGUUUUAUUUCGUUGUUUAUUUUAAACUUUAUCGGACAGGUUAAUAGAGUAAUGCAAGAACGGACUUAAGGAUAUUGACCAGUGCACCCAGCACUAGGAAAAUGCAGACAGAAGCAUAGCAUCGGUUGUGGGUAGUGGCGUUGCUGCCACUUAUCAUGCCUAGUAGUAGUAGUUGUUCGCAGCAGCUUAAUUCUCCAGAGCAGUACUUUCUUUUGAAUAGUCACUCUUUUGCACUUCUCACACUGCCUCGUCCAUUUAGACCAUUUUAGUUCCGGAAUGGCUGUCCUGGUUUUCUAUUCCCAGAGCAGACUGAUUCAAGGGAUAGUUCGCUGACAUUUUUGGUGACCAAAACCAAUUCCUUGAUUCUGCCGAAUGCAAAGGCCACCUGGCCUGGUGGGAACAUGAUGCGAACAUAAAAUACUUAAAUUUCAUGAUACAGUUUUAAUAGAGUAAUCCCAGCACCGACUCAAGGAUAUUAACCAGUGCACCCAGCACUAGGAAAAUGCAACUGCCAAAGAUAAUCACGGAAGAUUGAUAAUUCCUGAGGCUCACGAGAUCAACUUUAAUGAACUUGAUUGGUGUCUACAUACAGAUACUUGCAGAUGAUGCCAAUGAUAAUCGGCCACCAACAUCACAAUGAUCCCCCAAUGAUCUCAAGGAUGAUAAUCACUGGAUAAAGGAUGACACCAAGCAAAGGAACUUUGAGAUGCUCACGAUAACAGUUAGAUCAAUUUUGAUGAACUUGAUUGGAGUCUCACUAUAAUGGCAUUGCCCAGACACCCAACGAUAAUCAGGCAAGGGAAGCCACCAGGGAUGUGUAUCACAAUGAUCUCAAGGAUGAUAAUCAUCAGAUAAAGGAUUGACACUUAGCAAAGGAACUUUGAGGACAAGGUCUGAGUCUCUUGGCUUUCACUAGGACCCGUCCCAAUGCGCGCUGUGGUGGCGAGUAGAGAAUGUGAUGUUGUGGUUGUGGCUUCACCCUAAACCAGUGAAGCCACAAGCCAAGGCAAAGAACCUUGUCUUCAAAGUUUCCUUCACACUAUCCAAGAAAUAUUAGAAAAUUAAAUUGAAGAAAAUGGCAAAAUCAAGCAUAACAUUCGUUCUGACAUUUUCUUGCCUCAUCCUUGCGAGUGUUGUUCAUGUUUCAGCGUUAGACAGUGAUGUUAGUGGAGACCUCUCUGGUAUAGUAUAUAUAACUUGGUCUAAAGUUAUGUUUGACUCUUUGUCUAUGAAAAUCUUGUUGUAUCCAAAUCAGCUGGACAUGCAUUGCAACAAAGUCGUCGUCCACGUCAGAUUUCACACUAAAGCUAAGAUUCCUCUCGUGGUCAUGGACUCGGUUCUGCCGCCAUGUGCCUUUGACUUGGUGGCAACGUCACCAAGAAGGCCAGCACACUCUCACUUGAAUCAAUUCGCUCACCAGGGCAGCCAUUCAGAACUCAAGGUGAAAGACACAGAGCUGCAACCAAGUAGUAUUUAUGGGACAGACUAAUAUACUACUAGGCAUGAUCACGUGACGCAAGCGGCACAAUGCCGCUACCCAAAACAGAUGCUGUGGUAGUGGCCAUAGCGGAAAGCCAUGCAGUGCUUGGAGAGACUGAAGAAUGGCACAAGCACUUCCGGCACAAACAACACCACCGUAAAGACUCAUCAGUCUCGCCGCUGCUGACCCGGCACUGAUCCCCACCACCCCGAAACCCAUAGCUCGAUGCCCACAGAAUCUAUGACCAGCCCUCCAGCCAAAACAGCAGCAAUCGCCAACAGCAUCUUGUUGAACAAAAGAAAACACCUCGUGCUGAUGGUGAACAGCGCUUUCAGGUCAUCUCCUUGAAACCCGAGGGUGUAAAGAUUCAGUCUCAUAGAUUUUUCAGACCACUCUGCCGAUGUGGAUUGAAGACUCUCUUGUUGGACUGCUGGCUUCUGGCUUUAAAGAUUGUAUAAAUUUAAUUAGAAACGUAAGAUUUCCCCUAACAUUUAGUCAGAAACGUCAUAGCUUCAACAUAAGCCUAUAUAAAAAAGUUUGGUAGAAUUUGUAGAGUAUAACAUGUUUGCACAUAAGGGGUGAUGCUAUCUACCUACUCUUCCUUUACUCACUCUCAAGCUUGAGCAGCCCUUUGCUCCUUCGUUCAUAUGUUGUGCCUCAGAUUGAUAACUAAGCAACAUUAGGUGAUUAAAUCGAGCAUGAUGUUCAUGCAUGCCUCCUCCUUGCGAGUUUUUUUUUUUCAUGUUUCAGCCAUGGUGGAGACAUCUUUGGUAUGGCAAACUUGCUUUCUAAAGCUUGCGUCGUAUCCAGUGGGGAAAAGAGUUUCCACAAGGGUUAUGAGGUAAGAAUGCAUCUGAAUCAGAACAACUAUGUAGGUUUAAGAGUGUGAUCCAAACCUUGAACAGAGUCAUUUUUUAAAACAUCUGAAAGUAUAUUUUCCCAUUGGAGAAAGUGACGACAUCACUUCCCGCAGCAUCACGACGUCACUAAUCUCAUUUGGUUUCCUAGGAUCAGAUUUAUGCUCAAAUUUAGGAUAAAAGAUGACACUUAGCGAGUCAUGCCUUUAAAUACUCGACAAAUCACUAAAUAUGGUUCUUUGUUUAUAAUUAGUUACAAAACUAUACCAAACUUUUAAGCCACCUGUAAAGUAAAUCAGGACUUUUGCAAUGAGUAUAUCUUAAAUAUUUCAUUAUAUCUCAUGUAAUCGCUUUUCAAAAUAGGAGAACAGCCGAAUAUACUCUUCCAGUUAUAGGAUUCAGUUAUAGUUCCACAAGAAAGUGAGAAUUGUUGACGUCACACUUAGGUAUUUUCAAAGGGCAUGUCUGUCCUUACAAGGGGACUAAGUUGCUGUAGCAGCUGCGAGGGGCUAGCUGAAGGCUGGCAGAACUGAAUCUAUCUAUAGCUAGCAUAAGCAUGUGUAGAUGUCAAGAAAAAUUUGGCAUUGUCAAUAUAGGUCUAAACGGUGGUUUAUUUUAUGUAAAGCUAAACUUCUCACCCUUGGAUUUCCUAGUUGAAAAAGAAAUGAAUUUCCAGUUUAAAAAACACAGUUAAUUCAAGAUUUGUUUUAUUUUAAACAUUGUGCAUUUUAUCAGAGCUUAAUAGAGUAAUCCCAGGACCGACUGAAGGAUAUUAACCAGUGCACUCAGCACAAGGAAAAUGCAACUGUUUGGAGUAACAAGGAUAAUCACACUCUGCAGAAGCUUGAUAGUUGUAAUGAGGCUCACAAUAACAGUUAGAUCAACUUUGAUGAACUUGAUUGGAGUCCACACAGGAAUGGCAUUGCCCAGAUACUUGCAAAUGACGCCAAUGAUAAUUGGGCAAGGAAAGCCACCAGGGAUGUAAAUCACAAUGAUCUCAAGGAUGAUAAUCACCGGAUAAAGGAUGACACAUAGCAAAGGAACUUUGAGGACGAGGUCCUUUAGACUGGCUAUAACUUGAGUGACUAAUUCAAGUACUUUGUCAACUACAUCCAGUGGGACACCAAUGUCUGAUGCUGAUGAAGUUUCAUUUGUGGGAAGUACCCCCU